UUAAAGAAACACGCUUUGAAAAAGAGAAAUUAAAAAGAAGGUUGGAAUUUAUUUUUUUGCUGUUGUUGUUGGAGCCUGUUUAAGUUGCUGUCAGCAAUGUAAAAUGAUGUAAAAUGGAUCAGAGCUGCUGUCUCAAUUUUUAAUGAGAUAAUCUGAAGCGGGAAGAUCUCAGGCAUGUGGUCCAGUUGUGUUCUGGAAGACACCAUGAAAACAGAACUUGAUGCAGCCCCAGGUACAGAGCUACGCCUCAGCUCUGCCCAGAGCUGAGGAGAGGAGCCAAAUCCCCUCUGAUGUUUCAGGAUUUUGAGCCUGCUGAAAGCACCAGGAGGGCUCCUUGCACUAAAGAAAGCAGCCAAAAUAUGAGCCAAGGGCUGGCAUGUUAUAAAUUACACUGCUCAGCUCCUGCAGCAGUUUCAGGAGCUCUGGAUCCAUACCCAGGCCACAGCAGGAAAGGGAAAGGAAAAGGAAAGGA